CAUGAGAUUUGUUAAGCUUUUGUACUUUGUGAGUUUAUAGUUUGCAUCAGGUUUGGAAAUUUUUAGUCAUUCCUUUUCAAAUAUUUCCCUCCUUUGGGGACUCUGGUCACAUGGUACCAGGCCUCUUGAACUGUCCCCUGGCUCCUGAAACGCUUGUCUUUCAGGUUAUUUUUCUCUUUGUGCUAUGACGAUCUCUGUUCCGCUUCGCUGUCUUUUCUUCUUGUGCGUACUUGACAUAUUUUGAUUCCAUCCUUGUUGAUCCCAUCUCUGUUUUUAAGGGACUUUUAAGACUGCUGUCUCUCUAAUGUUAAAACCUUUGCUCUCCCUCUCCUCCGCCUCCCUGCCCCCACCAUAGAACAGUUGGAACGCAGUGUUCUGUCUUCCUGUUCUUAUCAGGCUACUUCUCCUCAGGGUUUUUGUUGUUUGGUUGUUUGUUUGCUUGUUUGCUAGACCCUCCUUCUUUCCCCGAACAAACCACAUUUCCUUCUCUUCUUUCUUGUGCUUGGCAAACUGUGGGUGCCUGGCACUGUCAACUUUACCCUUGCUGGGCAUACAUUUUUUCAAAUAUCUAUAGAUCUUGCACUCCCCUCUGAAAUAUAACAAGCUACUCAGGAACAGUUUGAUUCUUUCUACUCUUGCUUUUAUGACCUGAAAAAGGUCCUCUGUCGUGCUGUACUGAGAACUAGACUUUUCCCGUGUCGCACUGUUUCUGGGCUUGUGUAUUGAGCACUGUUCUCUCCCCCCACCCUCUCUGAGACAAGUAGCUCUGGCUGUCCUGGCACUCACUAUGUAGAUCAGGCUGGUCUCAGACUCACAGAGAUUUAUCUGCCUCUGCCUCCCAAAUCCCGGGAAUAAAGGUGAGUACCACUGUGCCCUCUGCUUUAAACUGCUCAAUGUACUGGCUGGGUUUAUGUCAAUCUGACACAAGCUAGAGUCAUCAGAGAAGAGACCCUUGAUUGAGAAAAUGCUUCCAAAAGAUUGAGCUGUAGGCAAGACUGUAACUAGGGUAUUUUCUUAAUCUGUACUUGAUGUGGGAGGGUCCAGCCCAUUGUGGGUGGUGCCACCCUUGUGAUGGAGGUCAUGGGAUCUAUAAUAAAGUAGACUGAGCAAGUCAUGAGAGGCAAGCCAGUAAGCAGCACCCCUCCAUGGCCUCUGUAUCAGCUCCUGCCUCCAACUUGUUUGAGUUCUACCCUCACUGCUUUUGAUAAUGUUAUUAUCAAACUGUAAGUGAAAGAAACCCUUUCCUCCCCAAGUUAUUUUGAUAAUAGGGUUUCAUCACAUCAAUAGUAAUUGUAACUAAGUCAAGAUGGUACUCAGCGUAGUGGGAUCUUGCUGUGACAGACCUGGCCAUAUCAUUUUGAGGAGGAUUGUAGAAGGACUUUGGAACUCUGGGCUAGAAAAGCCAUUGAGUGUUGAGAGCUCAGUGAGCUGCUCUGUAGGAGCCUGAAAGAUAAGGAUGUGACCUUUGUGAGGGAAGUUUAAAGAUUCUACUGGGGCCAUUCGUUAUUUUGAAUUAAGAAGCCUUUGUUCUGGUUAACUGGGGCUAAAGAGUGAUUAGCAAGAGACUAGCACCACCGAAGGGAAACCUUUGCUUAACUGGGACAAUUGAUGCUGGUUAGCUGGAGCUGAGAAAUCAAUGGCGAUUAAGAAGUAAUCAGCAUUAUCGAGAUGAAAUCUUCUGGAAGGUGUUUCCUGAGAGCCAGCACGUAGAAGCUGAGUUCCAGAGGUGGCCAAGAUUGUACCUCACCCAGGUGGUUCUAGUACUGAAGCCAUGAGGAGGGGGCCAUGAAGAGCAGCUGAGGCUUGGCACUGUGAGAGUUCAGGAGAAGCCAUUGUUACAGAUGCAGCCUCAGCAGCAGUUGAAGACCCAGAAUUGAGGGGGGCAUACAAAGAAGUUGAAGCUUGGCACCAUGAAGAGAGCUAUGAGAGGGUAUUGGUGAGAGUGAAACCCACUUGCAGCAAAAGACUCCAGCAUCUUGAAGACGCCAGUACCACCAGAUGGGAUGACCAGCAGCAACAGCAGCAACAGUGGAAUGGAGCCAGCCUGAGCCUAGAAGAUGAGCUGUGUGUAGUGCAUAGGACAGAGCUAGAGAAGCGACCCAUGUCCUUUGGAGGAGCCCAGAAGACCAUGAGUGGGUUUCAGAGUCUGGACGUUAUGUCAUUGACACAGGGCUGCUUAGUUUUGCUUUGAUCGGAUUGUGACUGUGUCCUGGUUCUCCCCGUGUGCGGUAAGGAUGAAUUUCAUUCAUUUUUGAUGUUACAGGAGUCUACAGUUGAGAGGCUGAAUUUCUAAAGAGACUUUAGAUUUUAAAAGAGACGUCAGAGUUUUAAAAGAUAUUCAGAUUUUUAACAUGUUUGAAUUUGUAAAGACUGUAGGACUUUUAAAGUUAUUUGUGUUUUUUUUUAAAGAUUUAUUCAUUUAUUAUAUAUAAGUACACUGUAGCUGUCUUCAGAUACACCAGAAGAGGGCAGCAGAUCUCAUUAUAGAUGGUUGUGAGCCACCAUGUGGUUGCUGGGAAUUGAACUCAGGACCUCUGGAAGAGUAGUCGGGUGCUCUUAACCACUGAGCCAUCUCUCCAGCCCCGUUAUUUGUGUUUUUAAUGUGAGCUCUUGGGGAUAAAGGAGAAAGGAAAGAUUUUAACUGAAAAGUGAUAUGUUUGUGUGUCAGGUUGAUAAGGGGUCUAUCGUAUUGGCUAGUUUUCUGUCAACUUGGCACAAGCUAGAGUAAUCAGAGAGGAGGGAGCCUCAGUUGAGAAAAUGCCUCCAUAAGAUCUGGCUGUAGGGGAGCUGAGUAGUCUUUAAUUCUAGCACUUGGGAGGCAGAUGCAGGCUGUCUCUGCAUUUGAGGUCCAGGAGAGUCAGGGCUACACAGAGAAACCCUGUCUCCACUAAUACGACCCAACCCAACCCAACCAAGAUUCAUCGGUGAGACAUUUCUUAAAUUUUGUGCUAGAUGUGGGAGGGCACUGCCCAUUGUGGGUGGUGCCAUCCCUGGGCUGGUGGUCCUCAGUUCUAUACAAAAGCAGGUUGAGCAAGCCAUGAGAAGCAAACUAGUAAGCAAAACUCCUCUAUGGCCUCUCAUCAGCUCCUGGCUCCAGCCAGGUUUGAAAUCCUGUUAUGACUUCCUUCCAUGGUGAGCUGUGAUGUAGAGGCCUAAGCUGAAUAAACCUCCUCCCCUCCCCGACCUGUUUUCAUCAUAGAAACAGAAAUCCUGAAAAGACACUUAAAAACAAGAUCUUUAAAUUUCCCUUUGUGUGCAUAGGUGUUUUGCCUGCAUACAUGUCUGUGCAUCAUAAGCGUGCCUCGUACCUUUGAGGCUGGAGGAGGGCAUCAGUACCCUGGAAGUGGAGGUACAGACAGUUGUUAGCUGUCAUGGCUGCUGGGGCUGAUCCCAGGUUCUCUACAAGAGCAGAGCUACAAGUGCUGAGUCAUCUUUCCAGCUCCUACAAUGCAAAACAACAUUUUGUGUUCCUCUGUGCAUGUGUAUGUGUGGAGGCGUACACAUGACAGCACACGUGUAGCAGUUAAGAAGACAACCUGUAGGAGUCUACACACAUGGGUUUCAGCAAUCAAAGUCAAGUCGUCAAGCUUGGUGGUGGCAAGUGCCUUUGCCCACAGAGCGAUCACACACACACACACACACACACACACACACACACACACACACACACACACACACACAGUUUUAUUCUCUUUAGAAGCCUCUCCCCAGUGUAGAGCAGUUUCAUCACAUAAAGGUAUCUUUCACAGCCCUUCGCUGCCGGAUGCUUAGUGUCCUGGAAACUGUCGUUACAGAUAGGCUACCUGCCUUUGUGUAUCUGUCUCUAGCAGGAGGAUAGCUCCUGUCUCUGCCACUCCAUCGUGGGUGGAAGCAGAUGUCUAAAGGUGACAUUUGAUCACCAGCUGAAGGAGGUGAUGGCAUGGCCCCGAGUGUAGGAGCAUCAGAGUCCCGGGGGAUAUAUAUACUGCAGUGCAUUGUGUGUGAGCAAAGAGAAAGCAGGAUGGCGGCUGAAGCAAGGGAUUCUGGGUAGUAGUGGGGAGGCAGGCCCAGACAUGCCAGUUCUCAGCUGCACUUGUGGGCCAUGGUUAGGAUUUGGAUUCUUCUCAGAGUGAAAUGGAAGGUGGGAGGCUCUGGGCAGAGAAGACGAAUCUUGUGAUACACAGGAUUGGAGUUUCCUGACUUAAUGAAGUGGGUGGGGCAAGAGAGAAAGUGGAGACUCUAUGGACUCCGAGUGAUAGUAAGACACAGUUCCUGUCAGGGGUCCAUAACAGGGAUGCAGCCAAGGAGGCUCCUGGGUGCUGUCAGCAUUCUGCAUCUUGGUUUGGGUGGCGUCACACCCCUGUCCACUCUGGGAAGACCCAGUGAGCUAUGUGUUCACGCCAGAAUUGUAUUGUCUUCUACGUGUGUGUAAUCCUUCGGUCAAAGAAUAAAAGGUUGGGAAAUGGCCGAGUGGGCAAGAACACUUGCUGUGACAGGUUGAGGACCCGAGUUGUCUCUAGAACCCAUGGAAAAAGCUGACGUGGUCUCAGGAGUGCCUGUAACCUUGGCCCUGGGAGCUGGAGAACAGAUGGGUCUCCAGAACUUGACAGCCAAGAUGGGUCCGCAAAGAUCAACAGCUAGUCAGCCUACCUGAAACACCAGGUUCAGUGAGAGACUCAGUCUCAAGGGAAAUAGGGCACACGAUGGUAGAAGAGGACAACUGGCAUCCUCCUGUGACCGCUGCACAGUGUGUGCUGGUGUACAAGCUUACGGUCAUGCACCAUAUAACACACACACAGACACACACACACAGACACAGACACACACACACACACACACACAAAUCAAAUGCAGGACUGGAGUGAAGCUCAGUGGUAGAGGGUUUGACUAGUAUAUGCAAGGCCCUAGGUUCCACCCCCAACACUACAAACCAAAAGCAGUAAAAUGGAGACACGGUGGCCGGGUCAUUUUAUGAUGUAAAAUGCACUCGGGUCAACUUCCAAGAUCCCAUAGUCUUUAACAAUCUUUUUUUUUUCUUUUUCUCUUUUUCAGAGCUGGGAACCGAACCCAGGGCCUUGCGCUCGCUAGGCAAGCACUCUACCACUGAGCUAAAUCCCCAACCCUAGUCUUUGACAAUCUUAACACCAUCCAAAGCCUUAAGUCUCUUCUGAGACUCUAGACAAUCUCUUAACCGUAAGCCCCCGUAAAAUAAAUGUAUUUUAAUAUAUAAUGGCCCACAAUAUAUAAUCCCAUUCCAAAUGGGAGGAAUGGGAGCACAGCAAUGGGAGAGUAGACCAAAGCCAGACCGACUGACACCCAGCAGAGUGAUCAACUCUGCAGCUCAAUAUCCAGACUCUUGGGCUUGUGGUGAAUUCAUCUGAGCUCCAGCUGCCCUGGAUGGUGCCGCCCCUCCAGCUCUGCCACCUGCAGUAAGUACAUGCGACCUCUGAUUGGUCUGCCUGCACUCAGAGCCUUCAGCUUUCCUUGGUCGAUGUCCCACUGUUCUGUUCUCUCCAGUAUCCUAAAGUCUGCCCUGCAGAUUGGGGUCUGCUUUCCAAGAUCCACGAGAUUGCCUUUCAAGAUCGCCUGGCAAGGAUUCCAACCCAUCACGCAUUGCUUCACCUCAGAGGCUUUUUGAAAACUCGAUGUGAACUUCUAUGACCCCCUCACUCUUGUAUCUUUUACACCUGCUGCCCCUGGCUCUUGGACCAUGGUCACAGAGCCUUUUUAUGUCUUCAAGGCUGCCCUGGAGAAAGACUUCCCUGGGUUCUUUCUCUCCUUUGGUUUUAUUUUUAUAAGUUAGCAUUUCUGGUCUUGUCCCCAGGAAAACGUUUCCCUUUUGUCCCAAUGCAAAGUGCAAGGCUUCUCUUUCAGGGUGGGAAUUUUUUAGACAACUACAGUUGCCUUCACAUCUGCCUUAUCUGAAACACUAAAUUCAGGCGUACUCCUUUUCUUACCAAUCUGCACAUUUUUAAAGUAUCUCUUACUGUAUACCUAGAUAAGACCAACGAACAGUAACCAUGAUACAACCUGAAUGAGCUCCUGGUUUGAAAUGUCUUCUGCCAAACCAAUUAGUCUUUUGAGUUUAAUGUCACUUAAGUUCCCGAGAUAUGGGCAAAAUAUAGAAAAUUCUUUUUCAGGGGCUAGCAUGAAUAUCCUAUAGUCCAUUUCCUGGUAUUUCACUCCUCUGGAUUCUGGUCUUUUUAAAAUUUUUUUUUUUAAGAAGACACUGUAGCUGUCUUCAGACACACCAGAAGAGGGCAUCUGAUCCCAUUACAGAUGGUUGUGAGCCACCAUGUGGGUGCUGGGAUUUGACUCAGGACCUCUGGAAGAGCAGUCAGUGCUCUUAACCACUGAGCCAUCUCUCCAGCUUUUUUUUCUUUUAAGAUUGAUUUUGGUCUUUCAAACUCCCACCAGAAUUGCCCACUAAGAGCUUAGUGCCCCAUUUUUCUGUACAUGGAAGAGUUACAUUUUGCAGGAGACAUAGUCUGUAGGACUAUGCCCAAGAGUCUGGAUAUUGAGCUGCAGAGUUGAUCACUCUGCUUUGAAGAAACACUAUUUUUUCCUCUCACUAUUCUUUUUUUUUUUUUUUUUUUUUCCGGAGCUGGGGACGGAACCCAGGGCCUUGCACUUGCUAGGCAAGCACUCUACCACUGAGCUAAAUCCCCAACUCCUCUCACUAUUCUAAUGCCUUGUGACUCCCUGUGCUCUCUGAUAGGCCCCAUUGCCCUUGGAUGACUCCUAGGCGAUAACCCUCAGUGUUCUCAGAUGGCCCCUAGUACCUCUAGGUGAAGAUGCCUAGUGUUCUUGGAUAACCCCAGGGUCCUCAGAUAACCCCCAGUACCUCAGGUAGCUACUCUGUGUCCUUUGAUAGCCUUCAGUGCCCUCAAAUACCCUCAGACUGCCCCCCCCCAUUGCUCUCAAAUAAUCCUUCAUUCUCUCAGACAACCUACAAUGCCCUCACAUAGACCUCAGGACCCUUGAAUAACCCACAGUGCCCUCACGUAAUCCCGUUGCCUGCCUCCUCCCCAUGCCAGUGGCCCUUUUGAAUUUCAAUGAAGCUGGUUCUAUAAUCAGUGGGGGUUUAUAGGGAUGACAAAGUUUGGCUUCUAAGGCACUGUGGCUUCUGUCUCAGCUUCUGGGACUGAUUCUAGGAUGGCCAGCUCCUAUGCUAUGGAGUCUCUCAGGAACCAAGGCCCCACUGUCAGGCAGUACAGACCUGAAGUCAUAUGAAUGAAUGAUCUUGCAUGUGUGUACCCCAGAACCACAUGGCCAAGCCCAUUUGGAGUCCUCCCUUUGUGGUGGCUUGUAAUACAGUGUCACAUCACAGAGGCCUUGCCAUGUCCUUCCUCAGCCUCUUCCGUUGUGCCCAUUGCAUCCAGUGAGAGUCUGCAGCAAACCAUAAGUCCUCCUGAGAAGUUCAGGGACAAAAGGAAGCAAACCAAGGUAUGGCUUCAAAGGAAUCCCAAGCCAUCUGGAACUGAGUCCCCAGAUCCCCACAGGGCCCUCAUGGACACGGUUCAGUGGUAACUGCUUCUGCAGUCAGUGCACAGUAGGAGCUGCUUCAGGUCUUCCACUGGGCUGGUCUGGUCGGACAUGGCCUUGACCCCUUCUUGUCUCUUCUGACACUUGGCAGGCUGUCCUGCAGAGAAGGCUGUCAGGUGGCUGAACUGCAGAUGAUGAGCAGGGGUUGCCUUAGGUAGGGUUUCCAUUGUUGUGAAAGACACCAUGACCAAGACAACUCUUAUAAAGGACAACAUUUAUUUGGCGUUGGCUUACAGUGUCAGAGACUUAAUCCACUAUCAACAUGGCAGGAAGCAUGGCAGCGUCCAGGCAGACAUGAUUCUGGAGGAGCCAAGAGUUCUACAUCUUGAUCUGAAGGCAGCCAAGAGGAGACUGGAUUUGAUUUUACCCUGGAUGUAGCGUUUAAGACCUCAAAGCCCCACCUCCACAGUGACGAACUUCCUCUAACAAGGCCACACCUCCUAAGAGUGGCACUUCCUGUGGGUAAAAUGUCCUUGAGGGCCAGACCUAUUCAAACCACCACAGGGGGUUUCUUGUAAGAGAAACGGUGUGGAAGCUCCAGUUUCUAUGGGCAACGGAGGCUUACCCAGACAGUGUCUCCCUGUGUCUCGAGCUGACUUGGCCAGUGUGUCAGCAAUAGACGUGUCAAAGAGGCAGCUUUUGGGCAAACUUUGGGCUCAAGCCCCACAUCUGGGGCUUUGACUGGCGUUUCAGCUUUGGAGACAGUAAUUCCCCUGCAAGGUGGUGGCGAGGCUGUGCCUGGGAGAACAGAAGCCCCUGACACAGUGUUCCUAGACCUUCACUCUGGGCCCUCCUUGCUGGCUGGGACAGCGACUAAACUACCUCCCUCUUGUGAAAUCCCUGUGGUCUAUGUCAACAUCUUCCCACGUGGCACUCAACCCAGAGAAAAGGAAAGUGGAGGGCAGGGCCGAGGAUAGCCCCGCCCCCUUCCUCAGUCUCCACCUUUAUUCCUCCUUCCCCCUGACUCUGCCUCCUCACUCGCCGCCGUUUCUGCCCUACAUCUCUCUUUCCCUACCACCUUCUGGGUUAUCUUCAUCUUCCUUCUUUUCCUCAUCCCUUCCCAUCUCCUUGACUCUUCCUUCCGGUGUCCGUGUCCCCCCCGACCCCCCCUACCGCCCCUCCUUCUCCUUUGUCAGAGGAUUCUAGACUCUGAUGUUCUCGCUACAGUUUGGAUUCCAAACUGUUUGUCACCUCCAGACUUUGUCUGGGGGCUCUUGGCAAGGUACAGUAUCUCUUGUGAGCCUGCAGUGGUCCUUCCUGUUUCUCUUUCCUGUUGCCUCCCUCUCUUCCCCUCAUGGUUUGCAGUGUAUCUCUGUCUUUUUCUCCACUUCUACUCUUCCUCUAAGUGUCUCUCCAUGCCUGUGUUUUGCCCCGCAGUGCUGGCUGCUCCAUCCUCUCACAAGCCUAAAAGGACAGAGUCAGGUGACCGGGAGAGCCUCCUUUGCCACACACAGGAACUGGGAGCUGCCUUGCACCCUCAGUAGCAGUGUCUCUUGGCUCCUCGUUUGGCCGAAUCUGUUCUUUUGUUUUUUCUUCUCUUAUCCACCUGUGGGGCCUUGUCUGGAGGGUGUUUCCUGGCUCCUGACUGGACCUUCAGCGACCCAGUUUCCCCAAACACCCACGUGGGCAGGAGUUCAGUUAAGGGCUGGGCAGGAACAGGCCUGAGGAUCCUUGCACUGUUCUGCAUGCAGAUUCUUGUCACAGUGGUUCUGUGCCCUGAGGAUUCUAUUGGAUCCUAAAUAAGCAUAACUCACAAGUUAGUGAUGGAGGUCCCCAGAGGUUCAGCAAAUACACAGUACCUUGGUUUGGUACUGAAAAGACACCCUGGCGCUGUCUUUUAAAAACUUCCUGUCGGGCUGGAGAGAUGGCUCAGCGGUUAAGAGCACCGGACUGCUCUUUCAGAGGUCAUGAGUUCAAUUCCCAGCAACCACAUGGUGGCUCACAACCAUCUGUAAAGAGAUCCGAUGCCCUCUUCUGGUGUAUCUGAAGACAGCUACAGUGUACUUAUAUAUAAUAAAUAAAUAAAUCUUUAAAAACUUCCCGUCGCUUACUAUUCCACUUCUCUCUGAGGAAAGACAGCCCUCUGUCCGCUCUACCGAGGGGACAGGGGACAAUCAACAUGUGACUACAGUCUAGGCAGGAUUGAAGGUACCAGAUGGAUGAUCACUAGACUGGGCUGGAAGCCCUGGGUCCCCCAUUUGACCGCCAGAAGUGAGCUGAGUCGUGAGGUAAUCCCCAUGAACUCGUCAGCUGAAAGGGAGCGAACUAUAGAGGACAGAGCUGGAUCCCUCGCCUGGGUUUCCGUGAGCAUCGCGGACACUUUCUCUGGGGCUUGAGGCACGGACAGCGCUCAAAGCAUUCCACGAAAAAUCCGGCCUGCCUGUCUGAUCUCGGCUGCGCGCAGGCGGGUUUCCAGUGCCACCAUUGACCUAAAGUUUUGUAGACUCUCAGACUCGGAGCGGCCCGCCUCCCCUAUUUUCCGCAGCUGACGGCGCGGCAGAUGGGCCGGCGCGGGUCCGGGGUCCCGUCCAGGUGGCUCGGGCGACUCCGGGCCAGCUGCGGGGACGGGGCGGGUGGGGAUCGCGCUUUCCAUAACAAUGCCGCCGCAGUGCCUACAAAGGCGCCGCCAUCAGCGUUUUAUUGGCUCCAGUUAAUUAUCUGCGGCGGGAGGGGCGCGCGGUUCCAGGACAUUAGUCGGUAGGAGGGAUCAGCCCUUUCCUGCACAACUUGACUCCGCCCUGGCCUCGUUCAUUUCCCACCCCAGGCCCCGCCCACCCAGCUCUGUUGCAGAGUUCUAGCGCCCUCUAGCGGCCGCUUUGUUCUCCCGUUCGGUCACCACUAGCAGGGUUGAAAUAAAAGCUUUGCGGGGGGGUGGGGGGUUGGGGGAUGGGACAAACUGAGAAUUCACAUUGUUAACUGUCCCACCCGUAUCUACAUCUCUGUUGACUCCUAUCUGCACCAUGAAAGGCUCCAUGACGUUCCAGAGCUCCAAAAGACUUACAAACUGACAGACUACAACUUGGUGGGUGCCAGAGAAGGGCAACAAUGGGAACCCGCGGACACUGAACAAGUUCCCAGAAAGGAAGAUGCCGCGAACAGCUCCCAAGAGGAGGCCCAGUCUGAGACAAGACCGGGUGGGGAAGCAAAAAGGAUGAGAGCUUGCCUGAGGUUUCAGCAGGAGAGAGAAAGGGAUUAAAGCCUGAGAAAGAUGCCCCAGAAAGAUGCCCGGAGGGGUUGGUAUUCACUGUAUAGAGAGGCAGAGAGGAUCCACCAGGUUCCCACACCCUCUUCCUCCCGGGCUGUUUUUAGUCACAGUGUUUAUCGUGACAUCGGAAAGCAGACUGGAGCAAAAGCUCUAAUCUAUCUUACAACAAAGGACUGCUCUGCAGAGGACCUGGGGGCUUUACCAGGAAUAUCAAGGAAAUCUGCAUCCGUGUCUGCCUGCCCGAGGAGGGCAGACGCCUACUUCAGGGUAUCACGCUGAUCGAAAGAUAUGUCAUAUCUAAAGGCUGUCAUAAAGAUCUGAGCUUGGAUAAAGACAGUCAGCUGACAUUCAUGGCCACUCUAUUCCCAGGGGAGUUCAGAAUGUGCUGUGUGACCAAAGGCCUUGUCCAGUCAUCUUCCUGGAGGAUCCAUCAUGAGAUGUUUGAAGAGUAUCUGUGUGGUGGAUCACAUCCAUCUCCCUAUGCGAAGAGAGGAAUUUUCUGUUUGCAAUUUCCAGAAACCUUUUUCUUGUUUUAGGCGGUGUUGGGACGGACGGAACCAUGGCACACUGCCACUGAGAUCCGUGCCUAGCUUUUGUGUUUCUAUCUUUGCGACUCUGAUGCCCACAGAUGCCAGACUUGAAGCUUAUCCAUUGGAUAACAACACUGCUUUCUUUCCCUUCUGCCUGCGCAGAGGGCUACUUUAGUCUCCACUUUGCUCCCAGUGUCUUCAAAUGUGGAUGGAUAAUUUGGCACCCCCAGUGGAGUACUAUCCAGCCUCGGGAAGAGUACAAGCAGGUUCUGUUUCCAUUGAACCAAAAGGUGUGAGAUGCACAGUGGUUUGUGACUCCCUGAAUCUUGAGGUCCAAAAAGGAAGUCUCUGUAUUUCCUGCUACUUAGCAAGGGUGAACAGGAAGUAAGGAAA